rnacentral:lncRNA from 1 species
GGGAGUGUGGGCCGCCUGUAUAUAAAGCCUGGUAGACGGACGUCAACACAGAACACUGGCACGCGACGACGCUACAACAUCUUCUGUACUAACACGCUCAUCAAACGACCAUGAACCCUAUACGAGUUGACCGAGGUAGCUGCAGUGUCACCACAAGAACAAUUCGGAGCGUCUACAAAAUUUACCUGUUGCUGGAGAACUCGAUCGCAACAAUUCCUUUCCUACUCCAGUUCUACCGCGGUUAGUGGAUCCUUCCCACAGCAUUACAGUGAGUUUCCUAGUGUUAAACUACAAGAAAUUGGUCUCCAAAAAAACUGCUUUCCAGUAUCUUUGUUAUUUCUUCUACCCCAUUUGUGGGUCAUGAGCUGUAUUGCAUUACAUUCUGUGCAAGUAAAGUCAAACUUGUACAUAUUGAAUAUCCAGUAUAUGUAACCAAUAAAGUUUUUCUAUUUAUGGAAUAAUCCAAA